GUGCCAGCCGCCGCGGUAAUACCAGCACCCCGAGUGGUCGGGAUGAUUAUUGGGCCUAAAGCAUCCGUAGCCGGUGUAACAAGUCCUCCGUUAAAUCCACCUGCUUAACAGGUGGGCUGCGGAGGAUACUGUUACACUAGGAGGCGGGAGAGGCGAGGGGUAUUCCACGGGUAGGGGUAAAAUCCUCUGAUCCGUGGAGGACCACCAGUGGCGAAGGCGCCUCGCCAGAACGCGCUCGACGGUGAGGGAUGAAAGCUGGGGGAGCAAACCGGAUUAGAUACCCGGGUAGUCCUGGCCGUAAACGAUGGAUGCUAGAUGUGGGCGGGGAGACCCGUCCGUGUCGCAAGCUAACGCGUUAAGCAUCCCGCCUGGGGAGUACGGCCGCAAGGUUGAAACUUAAAUGAAUUGACGGGG
rnacentral:rRNA from 1 species